UGAAUUUAUUGAUGAACUCAAGAUCUUCAUCUUUUAAUGAAAAUUUGAGGUGAGAGGUUUGGACUCUGGUGAGUGAAUCUUAAAAGUCAGGUUAUAUUUAAUAACAUGAAGGGAACCGGAUUUGAGUUCAGAUUCAUCUUCAUGUGUUCAACUUACAGUUAUCAUCAAACAACCAACUAAAACAUGUUGAUAUCUCAGCAAAUAAGUACUAUAACUGUUCUGAUGCUAUGCCAUUGUACUUUAAUUGUUUGGUCUGGUUCGUUAACACGAUCUGUAUCAUCAGAACCAACUUCAUCAAAUGUUAAUAAAACAGAUAAAUUUGUUACUUUGGUUGAUUCAAAGGCCAAAACCAUCAAAGUAUCUCAACUCAGUGAAGCCCGAUUGUUACGCUCAUUUUCAUCAAAACGUGAAGUUUCACUUUGGAAAGUCAUGUUGAGUUAUGGAGUUGCAAAGGUGCUUGAUGCUCCAUUAAUGUUUGCAAUGUCUUUAUUGAAUUCAGGACAAAUCGUUAAAGAUGUUCUUGAGAAAAAUCCACUGGAACUAUGGAAAGCGAUGGACUACUUUCUUUCACGUUGGGGCAAGUAUUUGAAAAAUAGAAAUGAAAACAAUUCUUAGUGCGAUCUGUAGAUAAUAUUAGACUAUUUUUCUUCUGAUGCCAAUUAAAAUCAAACAAUUUUCUCAGUGCCUAUUGUACAGUUGAAAUACAAGACUGACCACUAUGUAAUAAUUUUCAUAUGAUGGAUCUACAGUCAGCAAAAUAAUUAAAUUAACACCGGUCCUGCCGUGAUUUAACUUUUCAUUGUUUCACAUUUUCACAUGUUAAUAAAAUCUAUUUAAUGUCUGAUGAAAUUGUUAUUAAACUAAAGUCUUUUUGAAAAUUAUUAAAUUCAAUAAAAGUUGUACUUAUUCAUUGAGUCCCAUCUUUCAAUGAUUUUUGUAAAAUUUGCAGCCUGGUGAGGGCAUAAUGAAGUCAGGUUAUAUUUUGUAAAUACAAGAUGAUCGGAACCGGAUUUGGCUACCCGAAUGUGUAUUUGAAAGAGAGUCCUUUUUGAUGGAAAGCUAUUCAACUAUCACUUGUUAUCCUUGUUGCAAGAAAUGCCAGAUUCCGUUAGAUAUGUUCAUAUUAUUUAUUUGAAAACAAAAUAAAAAUCUUAACAUUACCAAGCAUUUUUAUAAGUUCAAAUCGACUAAUUAUAUAAUAUAAAUCUUCACUUUACUCAACAAAAAUGAAGUUAAAUUCACCAAGUUGUUUCAUUUUAUUUUUGUGUAUUUUGUGCCAAACUAGCCUUUUAUUUGUUUCAUCGCUUCCUCUACAAGUUACAUCGACUUUACCAACUUUACUUACAAAUGUGAACUCAUCGAUUCCACAUAAUUUGAACAUAACUGAAUGGUCGAGAAAUGACAAAGUCGAACCUCGAGGUGCUGGUCCUUUCGGUUUCAAUUAUGAGAAACUUUCUCUCCCCUGGAAAUUUUUUUACUUUGUUUUUGAGCAAGUUAUAAAAGGCCGCAAUAUGAUGAGUGAUACUAUAUCCGUGCCUUUAAUUUUGGCGACUGAUAGAUUGUUCAAUGGUUUGGAAAAAAUGCCUGAAAUUCGUGAUAACAUAACAAGAAGUAUGGCAAAGACCAAAUGUAAACUCAAUUUAAACUGUGAACUCGAUAGUGCUUAUGAUCCUGUGCAGAGUAUAUUAUUAAUAUGAUCUAACAUUAUUUCAAAGAGUCAUACUCUAAUCAUCAUAGGAUGUCGAUUGAUUAAAUACUGAAUCUCAGGCCAAAAGUUGAAAAUUUUUCCCUUUCAGAGUCUUCCAAUGUAUUUGCUUCAUCUCAUGUAACUCAAGUUUUUUGUGACAAAAUAAACUCUCUUUUUUUCGAAGGCUUA